GAUGAACGCUGGCGGCGUGCCUAAUACAUGCAAGUCGAGCGAACAGACGAGGAGCUUGCUCCUCUGACGUUAGCGGCGGACGGGUGAGUAACACGUGGAUAACCUACCUAUAAGACUGGGAUAACUUCGGGAAACCGGAGCUAAUACCGGAUAAUAUAUUGAACCGCAUGGUUCAAUAGUGAAAGACGGUUUUGCUGUCACUUAUAGAUGGAUCCGCGCCGCAUUAGCUAGUUGGUAAGGUAACGGCUUACCAAGGCGACGAUGCGUAGCCGACCUGAGAGGGUGAUCGGCCACACUGGAACUGAGACACGGUCCAGACUCCUACGGGAGGCAGCAGUAAGGAAUCUUCCGCAAUGGGCGAAAGCCUGACGGAGCAACGCCGCGUGAGUGAUGAAGGUCUUCGGAUCGUAAAACUCUGUUAUUAGGGAAGAACAAAUGUGUAAGUAACUAUGCACGUCUUGACGGUACCUAAUCAGAAAGCCACGGCUAACUACGUG
rnacentral:rRNA from 1 species